rnacentral:tRNA from 1 species
GGGCUGUAGCUCAGCUGGGAGAGCGCCUGCUUUGCAAGCAGGAUGUCAGGGGUUCGAGUCCCCUCAGCUCC